CUGCCUUUUGGAAGAAACAUGUACAAAGUGAGAUGGAUUAUUUUAUCUCUAAUGGAAUAUGGUAGCUAGGUCAUUGGUUGUGCUUAUGGGUCACUACUACCAAACUGGCAAUCACUGUUGGCCUAGCAUUGCUAGUUGCUUCAAAACUGAUUGUGGUGAAAUAUCACUGCCAAUUUGUGGCCUCAAUCGGUAGUGAUACUGCAAUCAGCAGCGAUAGGUGAGCUUUUACUUUCAGAUAAUGCCAUCAACAAGCAGUGAUAGUAUCACUGUCAGUUUUUAACAUGCACCCACAUUGAUAACGCCACCGGACUCAAAAUCCACUGAACUCAAAAUUUUAUUCAAACACAAUUGUAUCUGCAUCGACUCAUGACUCCACUCUAUAAUCCUCUCCCUUAUAAUUUCCUUCUCCCUACUAUGCACUCUUACUACCUCUCACACUCACAGAAUAUCCUCUCUCUCUCUAGAUCUCUCCUACAUACCCUCCACUCUCCUCCCCUGGCCUCACCCUAGCGUAGGGCGCAGCCAGGUAUCCUAGCAAGGGGCGUAGUAGUCAUCAACGCAGGUAGCAGAUCUAGCAUCCUUGGGUACUUUUUAUUUUUGUGUUUUUCUUUCUUUUUGUUUUGUGAAAAUGGACUACUGCCUAGUGAGUAACGGGUGGUGAAAGGCCAAGGCUAUCACUACUGAUUAGCAACUACCAGAUCAAAAUCUACUAGUGAAAGUGGGUUUUGAACUAACAGUUGAAAGGUCCCUGUUUGGUUUUGGUAAUUGAGUAACAACUUAGGUGGAUUAAUAGGUUUAUAUGAGAUACACAGGAGAUUAGUCCAUAGGUGAAUAUGACUAUAUGAGAUGAAGGAACUCAUUGCAUAUGAGACAUGACGUGGAGUCAUGUGACUAAGGUGGAGAAGAUCAAGAUGAGGCUUGGCUCGACGAAUCCAUUGCAAGUGUGAAGGGCAAGUUAGAGGCUUUGAAGCUAGGGACUGUGUGUGACGAUGAAGCUUGAGCAAGAAUUGGCACCAAUGGACCGAGGCAACGGUGAAGAGCAAGUGAGGUCAAGAUCGAUGAACCAAUACGGUCACAUGAUGAUAUGAAGUGGAUCAUUAUUUGGUGAUUGGUUGGUGCAUGUGUUACAUAAACAUCAGAGGAGUUGGAAUGGAAUGCACAAGGCAAAGGUAUAUUUGCAGGGCAUUUUAUUUCACUGGUCAUAGGUGUAUAGAGAAAUUUAUGACCAGGUUUAGGAUAGAUGAUUGUACUAUUAAGAGGGGCAAACUUGUUUGCAUGUCGGUCAUCUAGUGCCACUUGAGUGAUCUAACUUUCCUUACGUGUUAUGAUCGAGUGGCGUGGCAAGUUUGAGAGGCUAACUCCUUUGGAAAAAUGUUUGUGAAAAUGCUAACACAUGCACAUUUGCAUCAGAGGCAAAAGUUUGGCAAAGUCGUGGGAGUGUUUCUCGCUCAGAAACACCCGUCAGACACUAAGCGUUGGA
rnacentral:lncRNA from 1 species